AGCAGCCGCGGUAAUUCCAGCUCCAAUAGCGUAUAUUAAAGUUGUUGCAGUUAAAAAGCUCGUAGUUGAAUUUCGAGACCGGUUUACUGGUCGUGCUUUUGUACGUACUGGUAUAAUCGGUUUCUCUCUUCUGACGAACUAUAAUGCCAUUAAUUUUGUGUUAUAGGGAAUCAGGACUGUUACUUUGAAAAAAUUAGAGUGUUUAAAGCAGGCUCACGCUUGAAUACAUUAGCAUGGAAUAACGGAAUAGGACGUUUGAUUCUAUUUUGUUGGUUUCUAGAAUCGACGUAAUGAUUAAUAGGGAUAGUUGGGGGCAUUAGUAUUCAAUUGUCAGAGGUGAAAUUCUUGGAUUUAUUGAAGACUAACUACUGCGAAAGCAUUUGCCAAGGAUGUUUUCAUUAAUCAAGAACGAAAGUUAGGGGAUCGAAGACGAUCAGAUACCGUCGUAGU
rnacentral:rRNA from 1 species